CGCUCGUAGUCGGGUUUCGGGUCGGGCCGAGCGGUCUGCCGAUGGGUAUGCACUGUUUGGCGCGGCCUUCUUUCCGGAGACCGCGGCUACUCUUAACUGAGCGGGCGUGGGAGACGGAUCGUUUACUUUGAAAAAAUCAGAGUGUUUCAAGCAGGCAGCUCGCUCUUGCAUGGUACAGCAUGGGAUGAUUGAAUAGGACUCCGGUGCUAUUUUGUUGGUUUCGAACACCAGGAGUAAUGAUUAACAGGGACAGUCAGGGGCACUCGUAUUCCGUCGAGAGAGGUGAAAUUCUCAGACCAAUGGAAGACGAACCACUGCGAAAGCAUUUGCCAGGGAUGUUUUCACUGAUCAAGAACGAAAGUUAGGGGAUCGAAGACGAUCAGAUACCGUCGUAGUCUUAACCAUAAACCAUGCCGACUAGGGAUUGGAGGGUGUUCGUUUCGACCUCUUCAGCACCUUACGGGAAACUAAAGUCUUUGGGUUCCGGGGGGAGUAUGGUCGCAAGGCUGAAACUUAAAGGAAUUGACGGAAGGGCACCACCAGGAGUGGAGCCUGGGGCUUAAUUUGACUCAACACGGGGAAAUUUACCAGGUCCAGACAUUGUUAGGAUUGACAGAUUGAGAGCUCUUUCUUGAUUCGAUGGGUGGUGGUGCAUGGCCCGUUCUUAGUUGGUGGAGUGAUUUGUCUGGUUAAUUCCGAUAACGAACGAGACCGUAGCCUGCUAAAUAGUCCCGCGAACUUCUUGUUGGCGGCCGACUUCUUA
rnacentral:rRNA from 1 species